AAAAAAAAAGGAAAAAAAA
rnacentral:sRNA from 1 species